AAAUGAACUAAGCUGGCAGGAAUCAUUGGAAAGGUAGGAAACCCUAUACCAGGGAAUUGUUUAUAUUCAGAUUUAGAAAAGGGCUGCUUCUGAACAUCUGUUUUCAGAAUAUAUAGCAGCGUCAUGUGGGCUGGAAAGUCAGGAACAGGCUGCACUCAUGAAUGGAAGAAAGGCAGCUGGCACAGGAGAAGAAUUGAAAGGCACUAAGCUAGGUGGGCUUGGCAAACUGAUGAUAAAGCAUGAAACAAUCUAUAAACACUUAAAAGAUGUGAACACCAAGGAGAGUGCAAAAUUACUUAUCCUGAUAUCCUAGGGUAGACUAAUGGGAGGAAAGUUUAAAAAGGAUAAUUAGAGUCAAAUAAUUUCUUUAAAAAAUUGUGAGCCUCGCCAUUUAGACUAAGAAAUGACUCAGUCACAUGGGGAAUUAAAACAACAGCAACAGUAACGACAAAGGGCUGCAUAGGCUUACGUGGAUAAUCAGUUUAAGCAGAAAGAAAUAUCAGACAUAUUAUGCCUGCAUAGAAAUUUGCCAUAGAAGAGGAAGAGAAAAAGGAGGGGGAAGAAGAAGAGGAAGAGGACGAUAUUAUCCAAAUAUUUCUCUUAUAUUGGGCAGAUGACUUGGAAAGGGGAAAAUAUUAUAAAGUGAAACAUAUGCAAUUUGAAUUAUUUGAAAGCCCUACAACUAUUAUUAUAGAAAGAAAUCUGGCCCAAAUAGAAGUGUCUCCAAUACUACUUAAUGUUUUCUUAUACACUAAAAGCUGAUGUACUAUUUGGGAAAAAAUAGGAGCUGGAAAAAUGUCCACCUAACAUGUUCAAAGGAAUGUCAUUAUCCUUUAUAUUUCUCUGUGCCUGAGGCAGACUUUUCCUUUGUUCUUUUCUCAAUUGGUCUCUUAAUAAAGCCUAAGGAGGAGAAACUUUGCUUCCCCAUUAAAGUAAGGCUAUUAAUUAACCAUAUUUGCCAAAUAAGACUGGGAAAGUAAAGUAUUAAGUAGGAGUCAAACUCAAAUGCUGCAAAGUCCUAACUGUGAAUGCAAUACAGAGAACUUUCAAUGGUAGAACCACCAUUUGUGCUUCAACUUAUAGGGGGGUAAAACACCAACAUUAUUUUAAGAUCUGGUUGCUAGCAAUCAAAACCUAGGCUUUUGGGCCUCUUUGUGAUGUAUGGUAGAAAACUGCAUUGUUGUUGUUGUUGUUUUAAUUUAUGUAAAAAUCUCAGAAAAUGGCCUUGACUUAAAAAAACAAAAAGCAAACAAGUAAGCAAAAAAUCCUGUCUAGAGAGGGACCACAUAGGAUCUAGGGACACUACUGAAUAAUUCCAGGGAAGAGGAAUUUCCUCUCUUGUGCUGAUUUGAUGAAAAGGAGAAAGCCUUAGAGGGGUUAAACACUGGUUUGGAAUAAGGCAGAAAUAGAAAAGAAAAGAUCUCCAAGAGAAGUUCUAUUCUCAGAAGCAGACGGGGCUGAAAGCCGCCUCUGGCAGACAGACCCCCAUCCUCAAAGAGGCAGCCAGGAGCUCAAAAGCUAUGAAGAAAGUCUACCAAAGAGACAGAGAAGGCAAGUCUUAGUGGGGAACUGGAAAAAAGGGGAGCAUAGAAACUCAUCAGAAUGGAAAAAUAUAAAACACAACAAAGCUUUCAUCUAAAAUGGAGUAUUUUUAUAUGCAAAUGAGUCAAGUCAAACUAAGAAGUGAUAGUCAAAGGGCAAGCCAGAAGUAGGGGAAAGUAGUUUUCCUAGUCAUGCAAAUGAAGAUCUCAAAUUUGAUUUGUGACCUCACAAAUGAGAAAUUGAAAGUGGCCUAGACCAUUAGAAGUAUAAGAUAAUGUUAUAUGUCAUGGGAGAGAAAAGGUUUCCAAAUAUAGAAGGGAUUUGAUAUAUUUUUUGAACUCCAAGACAUAUUAAUUUUCUCAUUCUUAUAUUAGUCUUCAUCCUAUUUAAUGGUCCAGCACUGUAGUGCCCAAUUAUAGGCAAUGUGGUUUGUUGGUCAAUCAAAGAAAUGAAGACUUAGGAGUCAGAUUCUUGCCCAGAUUCUACUUCUUAAAGUAACCUCAGGAAACCAAGUCUUAAGUUCUUACUCUCUUCUCUGAAUACUAAUCCUCUCUUAUUUCCAUAAAGGGUCCCUAUUUUAAGCAAGUAUUUGAAUCCUCAAAUUGAAAGAUUUUAAGCAAUGAGAAAGAACAAACCAAAAAAUUGUAUCAAAAUUACUAAGGUUUACUAAAGAGAAAAAAAUGACAAAUUCAUGGGAAAAGAUCCUAAAACAAAAUCAGAUUAAGGUCUUUGACCUAUUGAAUCACUAAUCUUGGAAGAAUUGAGAUUUCAUAGUUAUUCUUUAAAUGGAAAGAAUGAUCUUGCAUCCUCUGGUACAAAUUCUAUUCAUACUUUUAUAAGAGGAAGGAAAAAAGUACGUAUUUCAGGAUAUUGCCUUUUUUAUCCAUAAAUCUUCUUAAAUCUAAAAUAAGCCUCUGAGAGAAGUGUACACCAGGAGGCUGGACUUUGCCUGCUGUGAGGAAUUACAUGGAUGUGGGCAUAAUUUGUGAAAUAUAUCUAUAUAUCUAUAUAUGGAAAUAUAUUAAAAAGUCAGUUGAGUUUUUCAGGUUCCUUUAGUUUUUGGACAAAGAAGAGAAGUAUUUCUCUUCUUAUAGAUUAUAGUGGUAAAUGAAAUGAUGACACCAAAGUUUUACCUAAAUAUAAACUUUAAAGAAAAGAGAAGGAGAGGAAGAAAAGUUGAAGGAAUUGGGAAAGGAGAAAAGGAGGCAGAGAAUAAGAAAAGAAGAAAAGGAAGAGGAGGAGAAAGAGCUAGAGGAAAAGGAGAAGAGAAGGGAAGAGGAGGAGGGAUCCAAAGCUUUUUUAUUUUCAAAAUACGCUGUGUGAUUGAAUUCCAAUUUUCCUUUCCUAAGCUGGUUUUUACUGACAUUGAUAUUACCAGAGGUUAAGAGGAUGUGAUUUAAACGUUGUUAAUGAAAUGUAUCAAUACCUUCCUCUCACAAAUCAGCCAUGCUUGGCCAGGAAAAGUGUGGCUUGCAGUUAUAUCUAAAAUGCCCAUGCUUGGUGCAUGCAAAGGGGAAAAGGAAACUACAAUUAAUAGAGCACUUACUUGGGGUGAGGUCUUUAACGCUGGAGACAGCAUUCCCCUUACACUAACUUAUGUGGCAGCAAUAUUGUCCAUUUUGAAGAGGAAAAUGUGUGUGUUGGUCAAGGUCUCAUGACCAAGUAGAGGCAAAGCCACAAUUCAAACCCAAUUGGGUUUGACCAUAGAGCCUCUUCUCUUUUGCUAUCACUUGCUACCUCCAUGAACCUGACUUGUUUUCAGUAAAUAUUUGGCUUCAUCCAAGAUCUGGUGAGAUUAGCACUCCUCCACUGGCCAUGCAUCUCAAAACAUAUUCUUUCAUUCUUGUAAAACACCAAGGCAAGUCUUUCACAUGAAGAAGGCAUAUUAAGGGUCCUUGGUUUUUGACAGUCACCUAUACUGUUAGAAAUGCCUACCUACAAGACACUUGCUUCACAUUCUGACACACGUAAAGCCUUCAUUACAUUGAAGGUAGGCUUUCAAGUCAAAGACGGAACCAGUCCUAUGAACCAUAGAAGCUUAUAUAGGUUAGUGUCUUUUACACAAGUAAUAUCCUCCAAACACUCUAAGUAAUGCACAGGUUUAAAUCCUUAGUGCUCCCCUGUCAAACUGCCCAUCAAUGGCUUGGUAAAAGCCACCCAGAAUGGACUUUUCCUGUCCUGUAUAUUCUAUUGCUUGGUCUUUUUACUUCAAAUUAAUUGCACCUGUUUGCACUUCCCGGAGUUUAGAAGAGUUAUGGGUCACUCUUUUACUAUAACUACCAAUGUACCCUGUCAGGGGUGGUCUCAUAUGAAAAACUAAAGAUAAUCUCAAUGAAAUAUCAAUAUGUCUGAAGAGCAAUAAGAAAAAUUAUUGAUUCUACCUUGAUCUACAAGACUCAUGGAGAAAAAAAAAAGAAAGCAUUUAACCACCCCAAUAAAACAGAGAAAAGAAAAAGCUAUGCUAUGGCUCCUUUAACUUCCAAGCCAGAAUGGUGACUGCUUUAUAGAGAGUUUGAAUUCAAUCUACCUCACGUUACUUCUUAACCCAUGUGUAGUCUCUGGACCAGCAGUAUUAAUAUCACUGUGGAGUUUCUUAGAAGUGCAGAAUCUCAUAAUGCACCUUUUGUUACCGCUGCAUCAGAAUCUGCAUAUUAACGAGAUUCUACCCUAGGUGACUCAUAUACUCAUUCAUAUACAUUGACCUAUUGAACCUUGGAACAAAAAAGAAAUAUUCCUUUUCUUGGAGUUUAUACUAGAAAUAAUAAUUGCACUAAAAAAUAAUAAUGUAAUAGUAGAAAUAACUUUAAAAUAAUAAAUUUCCACAAAAUAAUCAUUACACCAAAGUUAUAUCCAAAUAAAAAGACUCAUCUUAAAAGGAGAAUGGGGAUAAUUUUAAACUUAAUUUUUUUAAAUAAGUCACAAUGAUCAAAGUCAAAUUUUUGUUUCCUAAACUGUUUGGUCAACAUUGAUAUAACCACAGGUUGAGUGAAGGCAUUCCUUCAUGUAUAAAUAGGAAUAAUAUUGCCCACCUCACAGUAUUGUGAUGAGAAUUAAAUAAGAUAAUGUGUGAACAGUGCCUGGCACCACGCAGGCACUCAAAAAAUACUAGGCUGUAUUCAUGACAAUUAUUACUAAUUUUUGUACCAGAGCCAAAGUACAUUAACUGGCCAAUUUAACUGGCCUCUUAGUCAAUUUAAUUUUCUCCUCUGCCCUUUUAGAAAUAUGUAGAUUUAUAAUUACAGCAAAACUUGGCUCUAUAUUUCUUAAAUUUUUAAGAAAUAUACCCAAUGUGGCUAGAUAAAGGAAAUUCUCCAAAUACUCCAGACAUUAACAUACUGAUUCUACAUUCUCCUGUGGCUCAAAAAUAAACAGUAUAAUAUUCACCAGUGCAAUUAUAAUUAGAAUAGGAAAUUCUUCAGUUAGGCUUUGUCUCGUGACAAAGAUUAUCAUCCAGUUACCAUUCCCUUAGCAUUCUCUCUCAUGUGACAAACCCACCACAAUCUGUAACCGUCAACCUGGUUGCCAUUUCUAAUCCUAGCCUCAGAACUGUGAGCCGUGUAAUUAUCACUAUGCCAUAUUAGCAUUUGUGGGAUCCCUUGAUACUAAUGGGAUGCAAAAGGUGACACGUGUAUGGAUUGUGUCAAGUUGUCACAUUGCACAAAAACAUGGUCCCAAUUCCACAGGCUGUAAUAUCCACCUAAUGAUACACUCAUGUCACAGAAGUACAUAAAUAGCGUUCUGCUGCUCACUAUGCAGUAGGAUGUGCUCGGGGGGAUGUAAGUGAAUGAGUGAUCACAUGUCACACUAGAUGAUUAAAAAUGAGUGGGUCCCUUUUAGAGAUUAGUGGAUGUUAAAUUAUUUCAUUCACUUGCUAUUCAUGAUGAAUAAUAAAUCACUCUCAGAGUCUGCUGGUCUAUUCAUUUAUUACAUGAGGAUGCUUAGAAGUUAAUACUCUGAGAUAGCCAACCCAGCAAGAAUGGAGUCAGGGGAUGAGGAAUUCCAGUUUUGAUUGCAAUUUUUUUUUAAUGCUGGGCCUAAUAUUCAGCCAGAUUUUUUUCAGAGUUACACACAAUUAUAUCUGUUUCCUAGUUUUCUUUAAGACUUCUGCUUAGACUGUUCUAGUGUCUAAAAUGCUAUUGGAGAGUCUUUUGAGAUCAAAAAGUCUAUUCAUCUAAAUUAAUACUUCCUAAAACUAUAUUAUUUCAGCCUCUAUUUUGUAGGUAUCUGGAGGAUUCAUUUCCUUAUAGAGCAUCUCUUGAACUCUUCACAGAAUGUACAACACACUCAGCCCCUUUCUUCUAAGAAUGCAAUUAAUCAAUUCUUUCAGCUAGGAUUUAUUGAGUGCCUGUUAUACUCUCAAUGCUCUGAUAGAGAUUGUAGAUGAGAAGAAUAUUAGCCAUAUUUUUGGCUCUGGAAAAGCUUAAAAUUCAAUUAGGAAAAUGAUAUAUUAGUAUACAUAAAAUGAUAAAAGAUCAAUAAACAUCUAGUGUACGUGAACUUUAGGCUAUGCGCCAUGUUGGGGACCUUCACAAAUAUUAUGUAAUCUAAUUCAAUUAUAACAAUAUUUGGGGGUUAGUAUUAUCAUCAUUUUACAAAUAAAGAAAUUAAACCUCAGAGAUGUGAUUUGCUUGUGUCCAGACAGGUGAUCAGUGGAAGAAGUGAGAUUCAAACCCCUCUGAACUCUAAGCCCAGUAAACUUUCCAUAAUUUCAAAUCUUCCAAGCACAGUGUGUGUGAUAAUUAAGUGCUAAUUUGUGUGGCAAGAAAACAGAAGCUUCUAGUUCACUGAAGAGGGUGUAGAAUUAUCAAAUAAGCCUUUGCAGAGAUAGGGUCUUCACUGAGUGGGGCUUUGAAGGCUGAAUAUGAUGCAAGGGGCAGAGGAGAAAGGAAACAACAAAGGUAAAAACCCAGAAUCCAAAACAAGAGAGUAUUCCCAAGCAGAGAGGAUCGGAUUAUGAAGGGUCUAGAAAGUUAAGCAAAAAAACUGUCAGAUGCCAGGCAGUAAGAAAAAGAGCUACUGGAAGGUGUUGACAAAGAUUCUGUCCUUGACCAAACUUUAGACAGGUUCCUCUGAGCCAUCUUCACAACUAGGUCUAGGUCUCAACCUUGGCCUACGAGAACUGCAAACUCUGAGAAAAAAUGAUUUUGUCCAUCCUCACCUCCACACUACGAGACUUAAGCUCCAGCAUGCCUUCUAUCCGCCCAAGGCCAUGUUCUUAGGAUGACCUCAGUCCCCUGAAAAUAUCUGCUUGAGGAAAGCUCAACACUGCCAAAAGAAUUUACUAUUUUUUCAGCUAAACCCAGACCGUAGGCCUCUGGCAUCUUUCUCUUAGAGCAUUUACUUCAGAAAACUUGCAAUUGACAAUCUUUUCUGUCCCUUUGAGAUGUAUCUUCUACAACCCAGGAAUGUGCUUCUCAAGGACCUAGGAUCCAUCCCUUUGAGGUCAUCAGGAAGAAUAGGAUUUCCAUUGCUCGGUCUUUUUGGGAAGGUGGGAACCUUAACUUCCAUAAGUACCAGUUAGCAAACACAAACGGCCUAAUCACACUGGCCAACGCCACCCCCAACCAAUAUCCUUCAGUAUUUUUCCUUUAGCAUACCAGUGUUUAUAAAGUCUUCCAUUUUUUUCUUUAUUUUUCUUUUUUUUUUUUUUUAGUGGAGUUGAGUUCAACUGGAGUCUCUUUCCCCCACUGCAGUAUCCUAAAUAAAAUGUUUUUCUAUCUUGAAUAAACAUUGUCUCUGUUUUUAUUUGAUGGUUUGGGGAAGCAGAGUGAUAAUAAAAAUAAUGUUCAGCUUAGUAGCAGGAAGCAAAAUGGGUCUCUGUCCCCUUAAAAUCCUUUAAUAGAUCCUUAUCACAUCCAGCUUAAAGUCCAAAGAAUUGAGCAUGUCACACAAGGUCCUCCAGGUUCUGGUUGUCAUCUGCCACUCCAGCUUCGUCUUUCUCCACUCUCCAACCAACACUCAGUAUUUCUGCUAUAAGGAAUCUCUCAGAAUGAUGCUCAGUUCUUCCAUGUCUUCCAAUCAAAUGGUCACAAUUGCUUUUUGUCUCUUUUCUGGCCAUCUAAAGUCUAUUGCUGUGACACAUGAUUGUGAACUGGUCUCUCCAAACAGAGACUCCACCGUCUGAUGAGGAUCCAUCUCUUCCAGUCCAUCCAUUAAGAACUCCUCCCUCUGAGAACAUGGUCCUUCCAAGUUUCCUUUUCUAAUGUUUCAAAACUAUUAACACAUUAUACAGGAGCUUAUAAAGGUCUUUUCAUGAAUAUUAUAUUUCAGUUAUUGAUUUGUUUUCCAAUUACGGUGCACACAGAUGUGAUGUGGUUAUAAAAUAAAUAAAUGUGUGGCUUAUGAAAAUAUGUUUUAUUCUUUUCAUAGUUUACUGUAAAUAUAUGAGAAAUAAAUAUAUUUUAAAGAAAAUUUGUUCUUUGGGGUUUCCAGAGAAAUUAAAGGGUAUGGCCACCAGCAAACAAAAGUACAACAUUCAUAAUUUUUAGGCUUCAGUUAAAACUUCUAGGGACAUCUGUGAAGGCCUGUAGUGGAAAUUUCAGUUGACUAUUGGAUAACUUCUACCAUGACACUUUAGGCCCCCAACUCACCAAUAUUCUGGUAAGACGAGAGUCCAGUUUCUAGUGCGAUCAUCCAUAGAUUGUCUGAUGAUAAUAAUUCACGUAUAAUAUUACACGUAUUCUUUAUAAGAGCCCUUUAAGGUAGACGAGACAAGAGCUAUCAAGUGACUGCACAAGCUCACACAUAUGCUAGGUAGCAGAACUAAAAUGCAAUCUCAGGUCUUCAUUCAUACCACACAUGACGCUCUCUCUCAAGACUAGAUUAUAUUUUUAAUAGGUUUCUGAUUCCUCAAUCACAUCUUCUUAUGUGGUGCAUCCAAACUCCCUUCUACCUAAUGAGGUAGAUAAAUCAAGCCAAUCAAAUCUAAACUCAUGGGAAAAACGCCUUCUGAAAAGAUGUUUUCUUUAAGAUAACUGGCUUUUAAAAGAAAAAUUUCCCUUCAAAUUACAGAGCAAAGUAUCUAAAGAAAUUCCCAACCAGAUUAUAUAACUGACAAAGUAGAGUGAAUUUUUUUUCUUCUGGACUAUCAUUUUUAUAUGAAGACAGGACAGUAAAUUCCAUGCAUAAACUAUUUUUCAAAGAUGAUGUGCUAUAGCCAUGAGAAUAUAGGAUGAAAAAAGUGAAUCAGUUACUUGGUGGUUAUCACAAAGCCUCAAAAUCAACAUUUCAGUUUCUGAUGCAUCUGCUGCUUUCACCUACUGAAAAUGCAAAGAAUUCUACUACUAUAAGAAAUAUUUAUUAUUUUUAUAAUUAUAAAGUUAAUAUAUGUUUAUCAUUCUUAAAGUGCAGAAAGAUAUAAAGAAGAAAAUUAGAAUUACAAUUAGAAUCACCACCAAGCAAUAAUGACUGGUUUCACUUAAAAAUUUCCUUUCCUGCAUUUGCACGUCUGGUUUUGUUUUUACAAAACUGGGAAUGUAUAGUAGAGUUUUGUUUUCCAUUUUCUUUCUCAUUUAUAUAAAUAGCAUUUUCCCAUGACACUAAACUCUGUAAUGGGGCAUUGGUGGAUGAAUAAUGGCCUAUGGAAUGUACCCUAAUUUAUUUAACCAUAAUUUAUUUAACUCUGUUAUUAGAAAUGUUGACAUUUUUAUUUUCACUAUUAAAAACAGCAAUACAAUAAACACUUUUGCAUGUAAAUCUUUCUCGAAAACUUUGAAUAUAUUCCUAGAAGUAAAAUUAUUACAUCAAAAGGCAUGAACUCUUUUAAGAAUGAGUUCAUAACACUGUUACAUGCAUUUCCAGGAAAAUCAUACCCAUUUACCCUUCAAGGAACAGAUUAUCCAAAAACCCUUGGGAGCAUUUAAUAUUUUAACAUUGUUUCAUCAAUUUGCUGGUUUAAAAAUAAAAUUGUAUUGUUGUUUUAAUUUUCAUGUACUUUACUAUUAAUAAAACUGAAGGAUUUUUGCACAUGUAAGUUUCACAUAUAUGAAUAUAUUCACCUGUGUGCUUUAUGUUUGUGUGUGUUUCCUUCUGUCUUAUGCCUAUUUUUCUACUGAUAUAUUCACAUUAUUAUUUUUAGAUAUGUAUUUUAAAUAUAUUUUCAAAUAUUAAUAAAGACACUAUUUUAUAUACUAAACAGAGCCCUUGACAUAUUACUAAUAAUGUUAUUAACAUUACUUACCACUUUGUCGUGUGCUUUUAAUUUUUAUACCAUCAAAUCUUUAAGGUUCCACUAGGUAUUCAGAGCUCAUAGUGUUUAAAACAUGUCAUUGCACAUUUGCGUAAAUAGAAUAAUUUUUCUAUCAAUCAGUUCAUUUGUGGCUGCAGAAUAGCCAUUAAACCAAGCUGCUUUGAGAGCCCAACACCCCAUAUUCAGCAGUCUCCACUGGCAGUUUUGGAGAGUAGUGAAUUAUACAAAAAUACACUUCCAAAACUCAGCCUUUCAUAACCAUUUUCAGUGGAGCUUUGAACUGACCCAGGGCCCUUUGGGAACUAUGUUUCUCUCCAGACAUAACAUUAUUUCCUGGUUAUAGAACUAAAUCUUAUCAAAAGCACCUCAAGACUCUUCUAGGGGACAUCAAAUACCCAUUGCCAAAUAACAUUUUGAUGAGUUAAGUGUAAAUGAAUGUGAAACAUAUGGACUAUAUUUCCUCUAAAUAAACAAGAAUAUAAAAUGGAAAGGUGCUUAGCCAAGUAGAUUUGGGACUGUUUGGGAAGAAAAAUGAGUUUAAUUCAAGCCUAAAAUAUAAUCCGUGUAUCAACUGUAUAUAUGAUCUCAAAAUAAGUUGGGUCUGUGCUGGCCACAGGUAUCAAUAACCCCUGAGAGAAGAUAGGAAUUCCAAGGGUAUUUCUCUUCAACCUAUAUUCUAAG
rnacentral:lncRNA from 10 species